UGUUGGUCCUGUGCGACGGGGUGCCGCGAACCAUGUCAGGCGGGGAACCGAGCAGCAUUAAGCGGUUAACACCGUGCGACACAGUACGGCCUGCACAC
rfam:Ruminococcus sp. CAG:563 genomic scaffold, scf145